rnacentral:tRNA from 1 species
GGGCCUAUAGCUCAGCUGGUUAGAGCACCUGACUCAUAAUCAGGGGGUCCCUGGUUCAAGCCCAGGUGGGCCCACCG